AUCCAGCUGACGAGUCUCAAAUAGGACGAAACGUGCGUCCUCGAU
rfam:Schistosoma mansoni strain Puerto Rico chromosome 4, complete genome